CGGGGGAUGAGAGGAGUGCAUGCAGACACGUGAUGUAAAGUCUUGCUUUUACGUAAAUUGAAGAACUGAAGUAAAGAUCGUCUUGUUUUUUAAACGUAUGCACGCCUGGAAAUCCCUCUUGUGUCCACGUGUGCAACAAAUAUUGGAGGCACUGCUGAGGUAUUAAUGUUUCGCCGUGUCUGUGUGUGACACCAACUCGGACGGAGUUUUCCCCUGACGGGAGCGAGCAGGGCUGGAGCACUGGACGCGCACAGCAGGUUGCAACUGGAUCAGCUCAAAGAGGUGAGAUGGCUGACAAUUAAGAAAACAGAGUUCAGUGAGGAAGAGACGGCUUGGUCUUCAACAGGAUGCCAGGAUCACAUUUUUAACACACCGUUUAAAGGGCUUUCUUGUCCGCAGCUGAACAUCCAGCAUACCACACAGAGAUGGAGAAUGACAGCACGCUCUCGAUGGUCGCCCGGUAGAAGGACACCAGCAGCUUCUUGUUCAGUCUGUUCCUCCGAAGCACCCUCAUGAAGUGCAGUCGCUGCUGGGCCUUUUUAACUGCUGCAGUGGUGUGUGCAGCUGAGGCUCUCCGAAAUUUGAACCCCGAGGAACUUAAAGAGACAACUCCCCAGAAGAAGAAAUAACCUGCAGUUACGGGGAUGCUGACUGGCCUUUGCGCAAACAGUUCCAGGUGACAAACGGGCAUACUAAUCCAGAGGGAGUUGAGGAGGAGAGGCUCCCCUUAGACUUGACUUUCCCCGAAACAUCAACAAGUGACUGUGCUACGACCGAGUUCCAGGUGACAAACGGGCAGACUGAUCCAGAGGGAGUUGAGGAGGAGAGGCUCCCCUUAGACUUGACUUUCCCCGAAACAUCAACAAGUGACUGUGCUACUACCGAGGGAAACAAACGUUUGUGAAACGCAGCUGGACGUCAGCAGAAAGUGCUGCUGUGGAACAACACUUGGGUUAUGAAAUGGACAAUCAAGAACCAGGUUCCAGGGAAAGAUGCAUGUGAGGAUUGUAUCCCUGCCGAACCUCAAGCCCUAACAAAUAGGGACUGGGGAGCCGUUAAGUAUUACAUGAACAUUUCAAUUUCUUCUCUCCGAAUGUAAAUGAAGUAAAAUUGAACCAAGGAAAAAUACGUUCAAUGUUGAAAGAAGGAUUUCAAGUACCACUACCAAAACUAGGGGCUUUACCUAAACCAAACCAAAUUUUCAUUUUUGAAUCGUCAACUAAUAUAAAUUAAAGGGAAAUCAAUUGCAUUCCGAUUAUGCUGCUAGAAAGAAUCAUCCAUGUUUUCAAAGAUUUCCUUUUUUGCUUUUAGGGUUUUCCCUCUCCUGUAGUGUAGAAAAUAUCUUUGUGUGCAUGUAAAUGUUUUUCAAAGUCUAAAAUCCCUCAUUGAAGCAUGGAAACAUUUCACAGGAGAGAAACUUUAUACAAAUUUGAACCUCAAAAUGACCAGAAUAUGUCAUUGUUAAAUGUAACUCAAAAGGAGGUAAAAGUCUACUGAUUUGUUAGGCCUGUUUGUUUUGUUUUUUGGGUCAUGGGAUUGGUCAAGUUGUACAUUUUGUUUUAACGAUAUAGAAACACCCCAAUAAUAUACAAAUAAAUAUUUAUAGCAUUAAAAUAAUGUUGUAGAGAGUUUAUAUGAAUUAUACUUUUUUCUCAAGAAUUACUAAUUGUUGCCUCUAAGAAAAAACAAUGUUGAACGAAAAGGAUCUUUAGGGGAUUAUUGAUUUGGUCUCCAUGGUGUUUCAAUGUUACUGCCAUGUCUACUGUCUAGUUAUAUUCUAUGUUAAGAUGAGGCUAAUCACCUAAGUAAUGACUUAUUUUACCAGCAAUGUGAAUUUGUUGGUGUAAAAAAUAUCAGAGUAGAAUGUAAAUGUUCAUGAUGCUGUUCUGCAGUUUCUUUGGUAACAAGGAAAGUCCAUUCAACUCAAUAAUGUCUCUAGUAACUCUGAUCCCUUCCAAGAUAUGAAAACUAGAAAUAUGUGUGUGUCUGAUCCCUUCCAAGAUAUGAAAACUAGAAAUAUGUGUGUGUGUGUGUGUAUAAUGGACCUCAUAAGUGCUGACUGCUAGAAACUGGGCCCCACUAAGUGGGUAAAAAACUAGCAUAAUGACAAAAGCUUGGAAUUAUGUUUAUUUGAAGUGAUUUUUGUGAUUCUAAUUUUUUUUCUAUAUUGCCUGAUUUUUUACGGAGGUCUAGUAUAGUUGGAAAGGGUGGACCCCACAAUUGGGUAAAAUCAGUUCGGGCCCCACAAUUGAGUUGCACAAGGAUGUGUGUGUGUGUGUGUGUGUGUGUGUGUGUGUGU